CACAGCCAGACGGGGCCCUCUCGCGGCGCAGCCUCCGCCUCCGCGUCCGCUUCGGGUGCCACAACCACGGCGGGCUCCAGCAGGAAGCGCACGCGGCGCUCCUUGUCCACGGCCCGGCGCGCCCGUUUCCAGCCCUCCGGAGCCGUUGGCUGGUCCUGCUGCUGCUGCUGCUGCUCCACCUCGGGGCCGCUGGGGACGGAACCGGCCUGGUCAGUGUCCGCCGGGGCAGCCGUCUCGCGCCCUGGGCCUCUGCAGAGGCCGCUGACGGCAGAGGAUGGCCGACAGGCACAACCAGGGAGCCACGGUGUGCACGUCCGGGGGUGGGCGGGGGACCUCCGGGAACCUCCUGCACCCCGCGGCCGGCUUCGGGGCGAGCUGGUGGGGUGGUGGGUCUGGGUGGUCCUGCAUCGUGGUCCGCCCCGACCACCACUUACCUGGGCUCCGCCUCUGCCGUCUCCUCCUUCGACCCCUCUGGUGGCUCCGUGUUGAGGGCGCGGUGGAUUUUCUAAGACCCCAGACAGACCCGGUUGGCGAGGAGGCGGGGGGGGUGGGGCCGCCCGCCGCCCACCCGCUCCCCACCUGGCUGGUGUGCAGCCAGUACUGCAGCCUGCUCCCCUUGCGGAUGCGCGGCAGCGCCAGGCGGAAGAAGGCGUGCUCGCCCAGCGAGCUGAGCAGAGCGCUGCCCAGGCCCAGGCACAGCAACACGAAGAGGCCCGCGAAGUGGUAGAUGCUCAUCUGCAGGGUCUGGGGGCAACACAGCAGGAGCCCCGCACGGUCACGUAAUGGCAGGCCCCUGGGGAGCCUUGAACUAGGGGAGAACAGGUUGGGCCAGAGAGAGGGGCUUGGGGCAGUGGAGCCAGGUUGGGAGGCAGGGACUCCAUGGCUGGGGGGAGUGAGGUUUCAUGGAGGAAGGGGCACUGCAGCCGGGGUUUUGUAGGGUGAAUAGAAGUGCGCAGAAGCAGACAAACGCACGUCUGGGGAAUGAGCACUGGGGUUGGUCACUUCAGACAAGGCUCAGGGCCCCCCACGCCCACCCCCACCCCCACCCUCUGUCCCAGGCCCUGCCCCACCUCUGUAACCGCAAAGACCCGCUUGCCGCAAGGCACCAUCUUGUACCACUUGUCGUGGAGCAGGUCGAUGAAGCCGGAGGACUUGUAGCGGCUGAUGAACUCGGACAGGUUGGAGGAGGUCCCCAGAGACCCCGGCGCCCCGCCUCGCCCAGGUGCCUCUCACCCUCAAUGGCGAAGGGCUUUCCCACGGUCAGCAGUUUGCAGUCGGCGUCGAUGGAGACCUCGUAGUCCAGGAGCGACUUGUCCAUGAUGAAGGCGUUGAGCUUGGGGGGGUCGCUCCUGCUGGGGCCGGGGGCGGGGGUCAGCCAUCGCCCCGCCCACCCCACGCCCCGCCCCCGCCUCACCCCGCGCCCGGGCUCACGUGAGCAUGGCGACGCCGCGGGGCGUGGUGGGCGCGCUGUGGCGCCGCAUGUGUGCGUGCAUGUCGGGGAAGCUCUUCUUGAUGUACGCCUCGGCGCUGCUCUCCCACACGGUGCCGAAGCGGAAGCCCUGCGCCGGGUGGUGCAGCUGCGCGGGGGACCCCGUCAGCGCCUCUGCCUGCCCCUCAGGACCCCUGACCAUUGAGGGGCGCGCCGUUCUCCGGGGUGGGGCCGUCCUGGGCACUGCAGGGCGCCGAGGCUGCAUUCCUGGCCUCCACCCACUCCAUGCCCAGAGCACACCCCAGGCGUGACCACCACAGCUGUCUCUAGACACACACUGUCCAGGGUCCCCUGGGGCGGGGGGCAGGAUCACCCCGGGUGGAGACCCUCUGUUCUAAACGCCGGCAAGUCCAUCUCCACCUGGACCUCGCCCUGGGCUGGACGCCUAUCCCACCACCUCCUCUGCCUCUCCCCUGGGGGUCCCACGGGAGCCCCACUCUAACAUGUCCAUGACCCCACUCCUGAUCUGCCCCCACUCGCUCUUCCCACCCCAGGCGGAGGCAGCUCUGUCGUCACUGCCUCUGACACCCUGUUUCUCCCGAAAACCCUGGGGGGCGCCACCUGCAACACAGGGAACUGCCCACUGCUCACCCCUCCACAGCUCCUACCCAGGUUGGGGCCCAGCGUCGAACCCAGCCUCCUUCCCCAUCAACAUCCUCGACCAGCCCAGGCCCCUCUGCGGGGUCCUCCCUGCACCACCCGUGGUCUGUUCUCCCCACAGCUGCCAGGGCAACCUGGUGCAGACCCCUAAUGAGUAGGUGGGUCUGGCUGCUGAGGUCACACCAGCCACGGCCUCCCCACGGGAUUCCAGCACCACCAAAAACCCAAACUUGAAUCCCAUCGUGCCUGUGGGUCAGCAGCAUCUGAUGGAAGUUUCCGUAUGAUGAAAAGGCUUUGACGGCUCAGCUGUGCAGCGUUUACAUUGGAAGAGCCGCCGGCAGCAGUCGGCUCACCUGACAGCAUGGCGUCUACGCUUUACUACCGUUUCACAGGGGACACCAGGGGCUGGGGAGCAGGCCAGGCACCCCCAGGGGACACCACUGGGCAGAUCCAAAAGUUCAGAGACACUACGGGGCAGAAAACCCGACUUUGCCAAGAAAUUACAAGGGGAGGCCGGGCACGAUGGCUCACGUCUAAUCCCAGCACUGUGGGAGGCUGAGGCAGGAGAAUUGCUUGAACCUGGGAGGUGGAGGUUGCGGUGAGCUGAGAUCACUGCACUCCAGCUCUGGGCAAGAGUGAGACUCUGUCUCAAAAAAAAAUAAUAAUAAUACGGGCCAGAUGUGGUGGCUCACACCUGUGAUCCCAGCACUUGGGAGGCCGAGGUGGGCGGAUCACGAGGUCAGGGGUUCGAGACCAGCCUGGCCAACAUGGUGAAACCCGCCAACUCUACUGAAAAUACAAAAGCCAG
rnacentral:lncRNA from 1 species